AUAACGACGAUGAAUGGUCAGAAGGUUAAACAUGUUUGUCCAGCGAAUUGAGGAUAGUGUAAGCUCAAUCAAACAGUUAACUCAAAUUCAACCAGGAGUUGGAGGGCUGAUAAGGCUCUUUCGCUUUGUUCCCGUUAUCGAACACAAUGAGGAUAUAUUUGUAUAUCAAAUCAGGGUGGUACCACGUUAAUCAACGUCCCUUUG
rnacentral:ncRNA from 1 species